CCUACGGGAGGCAGCAGUGGGGAAUAUUGCACAAUGGGGGAAACCCUGAUGCAGCGACGCCGCGUGAGUGAAGAAGUACUUCGGUAUGUAAAGCACUAUCAGCAGGGAAGAAAAUGACGGUACCUGAGUAAGAAGCCCCGGCUAACUACGUGCCAGCAGCCGCGGUAAUACGUAGGGGGCAAGCGUUAUCCGGAUUUACUGGGUGUAAAGGGAGCGUAGGCGGCAGUGCAAGUCUGGAGUGAAAGACGGGGGCCCAACCCCCGGACUGCACUGGAAACUGGCCGGCUGGAGUGCAGGAGAGGUAAGUGGAAUUCCUAGUGUAGCGGUGAAAUGCGUAGAUAUUAGGAGGAACACCAGUGGCGAAGGCGGCUUACUGGACUGUAACUGACGUUGAGGCUCGAAAGCGUGGGGAGCAAACAGGAUUAGAUACCCCAGUAGUC
rnacentral:rRNA from 1 species